CCUACGGGCGGCAGCAGUGAGGAAUAUUGGUCAAUGGGCGAGAGUCUGAACCAGCCAAGUCGCGUGAAGGAUGACGGCCCUACGGGUUGUAAACUUCUUUUGUCAGGGAGCAAUUGGGUCCACGCGUGGGCUUAGCGAGAGUACCUGAAGAAAAAGCCUCGGCUAACUCCGUUCCAGCAGCCGCGGUAAUACGGAGGAUGCGGGCGUUAUCCGGUUUGAGUGGGUUUAAAGGGUGCGUAGGCGGAAUAUCAAGUCAGCGGUAAAAAUUCGGGGCUCAACCCCGUCGUGCCGUUGAAACUGAUGUUCUUGAGUGGGCGAGAAGUAUGCGGAAUGCGUGGUGUAGCGGUGAAAUGCAUAGAUAUCACGCAGAACUCCGAUUGCGAAGGCAGCAUACCGGCGCCCAACUGACGCUGAAGCACGAAAGCGUGGGUAUCGAACAGGAUUAGAUACCCGAGUAGUC
rnacentral:rRNA from 1 species